rnacentral:rRNA from 1 species
AUUGAACGCUGGCGGCAUGCCUUACACAUGCAAGUCGAACGGCAGCGCGGACUUCGGUCUGGCGGCGAGUGGCGAACGGGUGAGUAAUGCAUCGGAACGUACCUUUCAGUGGGGGAUAACGUAGCGAAAGUUACGCUAAUACCGCAUAUUCUGUGAGCAGGAAAGCAGGGGAUCGCAAGACCUUGCGCUGAUUGAGCGGCCGAUGUCAGAUUAGCUAGUUGGUGAGGUAAAGGCUCACCAAGGCGACGAUCUGUAGCGGGUCUGAGAGGAUGAUCAGCCACGCUGGGACUGAGAAACGGCACAGACUCCGACGGGAGUCAGCAGUGGGGAAUUUUGGACGAUGGGGGCAACCCUGAUCCCGCCAUGCCGCGUGAGUGAAGAAGGCCUUCGGGUUGUAAAGCUCUUUCGGCCGGGAAGAAAUCGCAUGGGUUAAUACCCUGUGUGGAUGACGGUACCGGAAUAAGAAGCACCGGCUAACUACGUGCCAGCCGCCGCGGUAAAAC